ensembl:lncRNA
GUCCCUGGUUCUGUGCCGUUCUAAGACCAGUGACGAUUGUCAGGAAGAAACACACAACCAGGAAGUAAACAUGACUGGUAGGAAGUGUCAUGUCCACUAUGGAGGUCCAGAGGACAGGGACAAGGACAGGGAGUGGAGGAGCAGUCUGCAGCCUGGGGGAAGUGAGGACCACGUCCAGCCUGGAGGUUCAUCACCGAGGGAACCUAACAGCAAACGGAGCUUCAGGAGUUCCUUCAGCCUCAAGGUACACACACACACACACACACACACACACACACACGCAAACGCAUACACACUCACACGCACACACACACACAGACUCUGUAUAGAAAUGUUGACCUAAGGAGCUCCAUCCAUCCAUCACUUCAUCACUUCAUUCAUCCACCCAUCACCUAUCCAUCGAUCAUCCAUCCAUCUAUCCACUCAAGCAUCCAUCCAUCAUGCCAUUCAUCCACCCAUCACCUAUCCAUCCAUCAUCCAUCCAUCUAUCCACUCAAGCAUCCAUCCAUCACUUCAUCACUCCAUCACUUCAUUCAUCCACCCAUCACCUAUGCAUCCAUCAUCCAUCCAUCUAUCCACUCAACCAUCCAUCCAUCACUCCAUCCAUCCAUCUAUCGAUCCAUCCAUCCAUCGUGCAUCAUCACUCCAUCCAUCCAUCCAUCCAUCCAUCCAUCCAUCCAUCCAUCUAUCCAUCCAACCAUCCGUUCAACCAUCAAUCACUCCAUCCAUCAAUCUGUCCAUCUAUCCAUCACCUAGCCAUCCAUCCAUCCAUCCAUCCAUCCAUCUGCCAUCAUUCCAUCAUCCAUCCAUCCUUCGAUCCAUGUAUCUGUUCAUCACUCCAUCAUCCAUGACCUAUCCAUCCGUGUGUGUGUGUGUGUGUGUGUGUGUGUGUGUGUGUGUGUGUGUGUGUGUGUGUGUGUGUGUGUGUGUGUGUGUGUGUGUGUGUGUGUAGGACAGUAGUAUCUGGAGGAUGUGUGUGAGGCCUAAUGAUGGACCACACAGGGAUGAUAGCUGUGUACAGACGGAAUACAAAGACGACCACGAGGAGCGGGAAAUGAAUUGCUUCCAGAACCCAGACGGGUUGGCUCCCUUUAAUCGACACUUCCUCAGCAGCUGCUCAUGGACGGAUGGAGAGAGGAUGAGGAGUGUUCACAAUGAGGAUGUUUCUACAUGUGAAGACACCCUCUUUUCACGUAGUGUGACCACAAGCACACAACAUCUAGGCCCCGCCCCUCCAGCGGAUUGCCGCUCACUGCCCGGAUACACAGAAGAAGAGCUUCUCCUCAAUAACAAUCACCUCAAGUUACCCAUGCCAGAGGAGAAUGAAGAUCAGAAUGAAGUCUCAGAAAAGACUGAAAGGACUCCAGAAGAUCAGCUGGACUCUAAUAGAACACGCUCCACUUCUACCAAUGUUCAUCCCUACUGGAUCGGAGACCUCGAGAGCAUCAUCAUGACUUACCCACAGCUGUACACCACCCAUCCACAGGGGGGCACUGGUUUCUAUGGAAACAGAAAGUCUUUGUCCCAGCAGCUGGACAGCCCACGCUCCACCACACAGGUAUGGAUUAUUUCAUCCUAUUUACAGUAUUUAAACAGGAAAUCCCAGUGAUAUUAAAAUACUCUUUUUCAAGAAAAACCUGUCUCCAAGAUAGGCAGCAGCAAACUCAC